rnacentral:rRNA from 1 species
GAUGAACGCUGGCGGCGUGCCUAAUACAUGCAAGUCGAGCGAACGGACGAGAAGCUUGCUUUUCUGAUGUUAGCGGCGGACGGGUGAGUAACACGUGGAUAACCUACCUAUAAGACUGGGAUAACUUCGGGAAACCGGAGCUAAUACCGGAUAAUAUUUUGAACCGCAUGGUUCAUAAGUGAAAGACGGUCUUGCUGUCACUUAUAGAUGGAUCCGCGCUGCAUUAGCUAGUUGGUAAGGUAACGGCUUACCAAGGCAACGAUGCAUAGCCGACCUGAGAGGGUGAUCGGCCACACUGGAACUGAGACACGGUCCAGACUCCUACGGGAGGCAGCAGUAGGGAAUCUUCCGCAAUGGUCGAAAGCCUGACGGAGCAACGCCGCGUGAGUGAUGAAGGUCUUCGGAUCGUAAAACUCUGUUAUUAGGGAAGAACAUAUGUGUAAGUAACUGUGCACAUCUUGACGGUACCUAAUCAGAAAGCCACGGCUAACUACGUG